rnacentral:lncRNA from 1 species
ACCAAGCAACCCCGCAGAGUUGGAAUCCUUGAUGGGUCCAAAGGAGUACACCAAGUUCUGCGAAGAGGAAGACGCUGCUCACUAGAGAGUUGAAUGUCCUGAACAAAAGAGCAAAACAAGAGAAUCCAUGCUAAAGUUUCAAUCUUUCACUUCUGAUGUUUCUUACUUCUAUCAGCUUGUAUCUCUGUGAUACUAAUUUGGUUUAAAGAUCAUUCAAUGAGACUCAAGAGAGCUUUAAAUAAUAAGACAUGUCUUAAGUCUAGAACACAAAGAAGAGAACUUUCAUUUGAUAUUCCAUCAUAUAGUUAAAAGGAGAAACGGUUUACAUAUCACAAAUGGUCUACUUUUAGACCAAAACCAAAGUCGCAAGCAUAGAAAGAAAAGACUUUGAUGAUCUGUACAUAAACUCCUAUCAGAUACCGUUGGAGAUAGCCGGUGAAACAGAUACAUCCGGUGAAGGUGAAGGUGACGGUGACUCGUCGUAGGAGAUUGAAAUCAGCUGAGAUCUGAGCUUUUCUGCAUCCUCUGAGUUUCUUUUGGUGAAUCCGUUUGUGGUAAUGAUGACAGGUUUCACAUCUGAGGACUCUUCCUCAGGUGAAGUGUAAGAGAUGGCUAUGAGAGACUCACGAGCUUGUUCUUGAGAGAUGUUGUCACUAGGUUGUUCCAUCAAAUGCCUUUAAGCUUCUGCAUUUUUUUUAUAGCAAGAGGAACAAACCCAUCUUACAUUGUUUCUAUAUGAAAACACCUUUCUCAAAGUUAUAUAAAAAACACAAAUUUACAUUUUCACAAGACUUCAAAAACCCAAUUCAAAUCUCAAAUCCUUUCACGUUGAAUUAGAUGUUAUGACAAAACCCAGUUCAAAUCUCAAAUCUUUCACAUUGAGAUACAUGUUAUGGCAAAACCCAAUUACUAUGAACAAUCAAAAUUCUCCGACCAAUUAAAAUGAAGAAAUUACAUAGAUUCUAUAAAAGUAAAAACAGAACAGAAGUAAACAUGUAAAAGCUUUACAAUUUAUGUAGAAUACAGAAACGAAUCAAUCGCUAACAUACAAACUCUGUAAACUACACAGAGAAACCAAACCCUAAAGUCCGUGACAGAUUCAAACAUGAAGUCAACACAAUUUUUAGUUUUUUUUUUUGCCUCUUUUUUUUCCUUGCGAUUUUCUCGCAAAUCAGGAUAAAAAAAUAUAAACCUCAAUAAUUAUCCAAUUAAUUGAGUCACAAAAUCCCCAUCAAAUCGCGAUUUUUUUGUUCUUUUUUUUCGUUCUCUAUUUGUUUCCGACCAAAUUUCUCUUUCCCAGAAACAACAAUUUCGAUUCAUUGUGCACAAUUACGAAAGGAAAAACAGAAAACGAAAUCGGUAAAUCCAAGGAAGAAAUGGGAGGGACGGAGCAGCGAGGAAGAGAAGAAAACGCACCUCGUUGAUUCGUACGGCAAUGGAAAACGUAAAGUUCGAGAGAAAUUGGAUAAUUUUGGUUUGAUUUUUAUUGGCCAUUUUUUAAUGUUUUUCCACGUUUUUUUGUUGACCAAAAAGAUUAUAAUAUUCUUUGCCAGCUAAUUCACACGUCGACAAUUGUGUAUGCAAUUAGCAAGUGGAUUUUAA